rnacentral:rRNA from 1 species
AGUCGAACGAGAAUCUGUGGAAAGAGGAUUCGUCCAAUUGAAGCAGAGGACAGUGGCGGACGGGUGAGUAACGCGUGGGGAACCUGCCUUUCAGAGGGGGACAACAGUUGGAAACGACUGCUAAUACCGCAUGACACAUAGGUGUCGCAUGGCACUUAUGUCAAAGAUUUAUCGCUGAAAGAUGGCCUCGCGUCUGAUUAGCUAGUUGGUGAGGUAACGGCCCACCAAGGCGACGAUCAGUAGCCGGACUGAGAGGUUGAACGGCCACAUUGGGACUGAGAUACGGCCCAGACUCCUACGGGAGGCAGCAGUGGGGAAUAUUGGGCAAUGGGCGCAAGCCUGACCCAGCAACGCCGCGUGAAGGAAGAAGGCUUUCGGGUUGUAAACUUCUUUUGUCAGGGACGAGUAGAAGACGGUACCUGACGAAUAAGCCACGGCUAACUACGUGCCAGCAGCCGCGGUAAUACGUAGGUGGCAAGCGUUGUCCGGAUUUACUGGGUGUAAAGGGCGUGUAGCCGGGAGGGCAAGUCAGAUGUGAAAUCCACGGGCUCAACUCGUGAACUGCAUUUGAAACUACUCUUCUUGAGUAUCGGAGAGGCAAUCGGAAUUCCUAGUGUAGCGGUGAAAUGCGUAGAUAUUAGGAGGAACACCAGUGGCGAAGGCGGAUUGCUGGACGACAACUGACGGUGAGGCGC